CGGAGGAAAAGAAACCAACAGGGAUUGCCCCAGUAACGGCGAGUGAAGCGGCAAAAGCUCAAAUUUGAAAUCCUGCGGGAAUUGUAAUUUGAAGGUUUCGUGGUCUGAGUCGGCCGCGCCCAAGUCCAUUGGAACAUGGCGCCUGGGAGGGUGAGAGCCCCGUAUGGCGCACGCCGACUCUUUGCACCGCGGCUCCGACGAGUCGAGUUGUUUGGGAAUGCAGCUCUAAGUGGGUGGUAAAUUCCAUCUAAAGCUAAAUAUUGGCGAGAGACCGAUAGCGAACAAGUACAGUGAUGGAAAGAUGAAAAGCACUUUGAAAAGAGAGUGAAACAGCACGUGAAAUUGUUGAAAGGGAAGGGCUUGCAAGCAGACACGGUUUUACCGGGCCAGCGUCGAAAAGGGGGGAGGAACAAGAACUCGAGAAUGUGGCGCGCACCUUCGGGCGCGCGUGUUAUAGCUCGUGUUGACGCCUCCAUCCCUUUUCGAGGCCUGCGAUUCUAGGACGCUGGCGUAAUGGUUGCAAGCCGCCCGU
rnacentral:rRNA from 1 species